UACGAAGGGGGCUAGCGUUGCUCGGAAUCACUGGGCGUAAAGGGUGCGUAGGCGGGUCUUUAAGUCAGGGGUGAAAUCCUGGAGCUCAACUCCAGAACUGCCUUUGAUACUGAAGAUCUUGAGUUCGGGAGAGGUGAGUGGAACUGCGAGUGUAGAGGUGAAAUUCGUAGAUAUUCGCAAGAACACCAGCGGCGAAGGCGGCGCUCUGGGCCGGAACUGACGCUGAGGAGCGAAAGCGUGGGGAGCAAACAGG
rnacentral:rRNA from 1 species